rnacentral:tRNA from 1 species
GCCGGGAUGGUGGAAUUGGUAGACACGCUGGUCUUAGGAACCAGUAUCUUUGUGAUGUGAAGGUUCGAGUCCUUUUCCCGGCACUA